GACAGAGGGUGCAAACGUUGUUCGGAUUUACUGGGCGUAAAGCGCGUGUAGGCGGCUUGGCAAGUCGGAUGUGAAAGCCCACGGCUCAACCGUGGAAGCGCAUCCGAAACGGCCUCGCUCGAGUCUCGGAGAGGAAGGUGGAAUGCUUGGUGUAGAGGUGAAAUUCGUAGAUAUCAAGCAGAACACCUGCGGCGAAGGCGGCCUUCUGGACGAUGACUGACGCUGAGACGCGAAAAGCGUGGGGGAGCAAAACAGG
rnacentral:rRNA from 1 species